GGGUGGGCAGGCAUGUGGGUCCUCAGAGGUACGGCUCAACGCCCGCAGCUGACCCCCUUGCCAUCACGGCGGCAUCUCCAAAGAGCCGCGGGGAGGAUCCCGGACCCCUCUGGCCUCUGCAGCAGGAAGCCAAGUGGAGGAUGGAAGAGGCGUAGCGUCAGCUGCAGCAGGGAGGCGAGGUCCAGGGGAGGGGAAUUGCCAACCAACACAGAGACACCUGCAGCGGGAGCGAUGCUGAGCCCUCCACCCCAGCCUCCCAGCUCUCAUGGGGUGGAUCAGAGGCACUGCCCCGAGCUGGCCAAGGGGAGAGAUGAGUGGGCAGAGACCGCCCCCCAAAGCCAAGUGGAGCCAUGCCGAGCUCGACCAGGCCUCCAGAAGCAGCGAACAAAGCAUGAGCGGGAAUAAUCAAGUUCAACAACAGAGGUGCUUCUCCAGAGGGAAGCUGCUGUUUUCCAGAUGGGAACCUCAAAGAUCAGAAGGGGUAGGAGGAAACAAGCCAUCCCUCCAAGAAAUAACAAGAGGCGGGUUCCCUACGCCCAAUGCACCUGCCUUCCCAGGCAGGAGAAAAAGGGGUACUGGGUGACAGCAGAAGGGUCCACUAAAUGCUCACCGUGGCCCCAUGUAGGGUGCCUCUCCCACCCUCCCUUCCUCUGUGGCCCUGAUCCCUUCCUCCAUGCAAUUUGUGAUUUCUGGUGCACACAUGUUCCCUGGAUUGCCAAGGCAGGUCAACAGCUGUCACCAUGACAACAAAGAAGAAGAAAAAGAAAGGUUGAUGGAGGUGGAACACAAGAGCUGUCAUUGAUGAUUGGCCAACUGGAUGAAGGAGCAAAAGGACACAUGAAAGAAGAGGAAGCAGAUGGCCCACGACAGGCCUUUGGGUUGGGCCAUAAGGUCAGGUCAUGCCAGACAGAGGGGCUCCCUCACCAGCCAGAGCCUCACGCUAUAUGUCAAAGGGUACCUAUUCAUCAUUGCUUUGCCUGCCCAGUGCCGCUAAAUGUGUCUCCUAUGUUUGCGGAAUACCCCACCUUAUGAGUUUCCAACUUCUUUCACAAAAGCCAGCCUGCCACCUUCCAGCCUCCCUUGCAGCUAGGGUUUAAUCGUGUGACCUGGGCUCUACCAAUCACACACCCACCAGACUCAGAUGGGAGGGGGUGACCCAGGAAGCAGAUUCCCUGUGGAAUCCAUUCUACCUGGGGAGAGGUGGAUUCCCGUGUCCAGUUUCCGGGGACAGUGCUGUGACUGGUGUGGGAGCCCAUCAGGGGGCUUGCCCUGGGUAUGCCCACCUGCAGUGGGAUCCUGGUUCUGGUACUCCGGCUUUCUGGAGAGUCUGGGCUAUGGGGUAUCCUUGAAUAAAUUCCU